rnacentral:rRNA from 1 species
GAGUUUGAUCCUGGCUCACAAUGAACGCUGGCGGCGUGCCUAACACAUGCAAGUCGAGCGAGAAAGCGGGCUUCGGCCCGUGAGUACAGCGGCGAACGGGUGAGUAACACGUGGGUAACCUACCUGGGAGCGGGGGAUAACCUGGGGAAACUCGGGCUAAUACCGCAUACGUUCCGAGAGCUUCGGCUCGAGGAGGAAAGCUGGCCUCUACACGUAAGCUGGCACUCCCAGAGGGGCCCGCGUCCGAUUAGCUUGUUGGUGGGGUAAUGGCCCACCAAGGCUGCAAUCGGUAGCCGGCCUGAGAGGGUGAUCGGCCACACUGGGACUGAGACACGGCCCAGACUCCUACGGGAGGCAGCAGUGGGGAAUAUCGGACAAUGGGCGAAAGCCUGAUCCAGCAACGCCGCGUGGAGGACGAAGGCCUUCGGGUCGUAAACUCCUGUCAGGUGGGACGAAAAGACCGGGUUCAAUAGGCCCGGUUCAUGACGGUACCACCAGAGGAAGCCCCGGCUAACUCCGUGCCAGCAGCCGCGGUAAAACGGAGGGGGCAAGCGUUAUUCGGAUUUACUGGGCGUAAAGGGCGCGUAGCGGCGUGGUAAGUCAAAGGUGAAAUCCCUCGGCCCAACCGAGGAACUGCCUUUGAAACUGCCGCGCUAGA